UCCAGGAAGUAAAGAUGGCAACGUCCCAGAAACUGGAGGAACAUUUCCUCACAUGCACCAUAUGCACAGAGGUGUUUGACAAUCCAUGCACGCUUGUGUGUUAUCACACAUUCUGUCGGAAAUGUGUCGUCAACUACACCAAAACCAAACCCGAAGCCAUCAGUGCCAAGUCUCUACUCUGUCCCUUCUGCAGCAAGAUGACGAAAGUGUCUGAACCUGACGACAGACCAGUGGAGGAAUGGGCGGAUGCUGUCAAGCCAAGCUUUGUCAUCCAGGGACUGUUGGACUCCUUUGGUCCGGGAUCUAAAGGUACAACAAACUGCACCUGGUGUCACGCAGAAGGGGAGACAACUCCUGCAUCUGUAUGGUGCUCGGUGUGUGACGAAUCCAUGUGUGACCGAUGUGCUAGAAUGCACAAACGUUUGCCAUCCAUUCGUCAUCAUGACGUAAUUGACCUUUCUGGCGAGGUCAAUAUCCCCCGGAAGCGAAAAGUCAUGUGUAGUGAACACAAGGAUGAAUGCGUGAAGUUCCUGUGCAAAGAUUGCAAGAAACUCACCUGUCAAACCUGCUGCAUUAUCUAUCACAGAAAAUGUGAGUCAGUUGUCACACUUGAGUCGGAAUUUCCUGCUUUAAAAUCCAAACUGCUGAAUGAGAAGGAAAAUAUACUCAAGAAACAAAUCCUUAUGGAAAAGAAAGUCGAUACAGUUAAAUCGAAUGUCAUCACUGAGAAAGAUCGAUAUGUGCAAAUGGAAUCGAAGAUCAAGUCCAACGGAAUCAAGGCGAGGGAGACAAUCACUCUUAAGGAAAAUAAACUUUUAGAUGAACUGAAAGAAAUCUCAGAUAGGCACAUUGAACAGUUGAACGCUCACAUUAAGUCAGCGGAAAUAUCAGUACAGAUGUACCGACAACAGGCUGAACUCAUUGACCAGACUUUACAAUCUGACUGUGACAUGAAUGUGUAUGAGAUGUACCAGGGAUGUGAUGCCGGUGAUGUGGAGGAUGUCGGACACACAGACUUGAAGGAGAAGGGAAGAAUAGCCAGGAUCACGUUCAGACAGGACUCGGACAAGCUGAGUAGAGCAGUGGACGAGCUACAGCUGGGUGAGAUAGACGUUCUGUAUGACGGUGUGUUGGACCUGGCGGCAACACCUGUGUUACGAAACACGAUCAGCGUCAAUGCAGCAGGGGAUCAGAGUGAUGAAAGGCCUCUUGACGUGACAGCGCUAGUGAUACAUGAUACACAUACAGUAGUAACCACAGAUAAUACCAACAUGAGUGUGAAGUCUUUCUAUACCAGAGAUAAUCAGUCACGCCAUAGCAAGCUCAGCCUGGAUAGUCGACCGUGGGGUCUGACAAAGUUACAACACAAUCAAGUUGCUGUCACUGUAAUGAAUAAAACAAUCAUAACGGUUGAAGUCAACCCUGACCUGGUGCUGCUGUCAACCAUCACAACAAACAAACAGUACUAUGGUAUAACAUCCCUGACCCCAUCAACACUUGCAGCAGGUUCCCAGUCUCCUCCCUGUGUGGAUAUUCUGGACAUGACAGGAAACGUGCUGAGGUCAGUCAGCCCACUCUGUAGUGGAACGAAGAUCCUGAAUAGUCCUUACUUUCUUUGCACCACAAGAACAGGAAACAUUCUUGUGUCCGACUAUGGUUCCCAGCGUGUCUUGUGCCUGACACCUGAAGGGGACGUUGUGUUCACCUACCCCCCGACAGGACACACAACACAGGUAGAUCCUCGGGGCAUCACAAGUACCAGCACAGGUGACAUUCUGGUUGCUCUCUACUCUCAGAAUAAUGUGGUUCAUCUGACUGAGUCAGGCCAGUUUGUUAGGAACUUACUUACAGCAGGUGACGGUGUCGAUCAUCCGUACGGUGUUUGUGCAGAUGAUCGGGGCUAUGUGUAUGUUUGUAAUUUAAGCUCAGGUGACAUCAAAGUUUUCACAUGUAGUGACACAGAAUAGAUAACUGAUUCAUACUCAAACUCUAUUCCACCUGAUAAUAUGAUGAUUCAGAGUGUGUCUUGUGCCUGACACCUGAAGGGGACGUUGUGUUCACCUACCCCCCGACAGGACACACAACACAGGUGCUUCCUCUGGACAUCACAAGUACCAACACAGG
rnacentral:misc_RNA from 1 species